AUUGAACGCUGGCGGCAGGCCUAACACAUGCAAGUCGAGCGGAUGACGGGAGCUUGCUCCUUGAUUCAGCGGCGGACGGGUGAGUAAUGCCUAGGAAUCUGCCUGGUAGUGGGGGACAACGUUUCGAAAGGAACGCUAAUACCGCAUACGUCCUACGGGAGAAAGCAGGGGACCUUCGGGCCUUGCGCUAUCAGAUGAGCCUAGGUCGGAUUAGCUAGUAGGUGAGGUAAUGGCUCACCUAGGCGACGAUCCGUAACUGGUCUGAGAGGAUGAGCAGUCACACUGGAACUGAGACACGGUCCAGACUCCUACGGGAGGCAGCAGUGGGGAAUAUUGGACAAUGGGCGAAAGCCUGAUCCAGCCAUGCCGCGUGUGUGAAGAAGGUCUUCGGAUCGUAAAGCACUUUAAGUUGGGAGGAAGGGCAGUAAGCUAAUACCUUGCUGUUUUGACGUUACCGACAGAAUAAGCACCGGCUAACUCUGUGCCAGCAGCCGCAGUAAAAC
rnacentral:rRNA from 1 species